CAAUUGAAGGGUUUGAUCCUGGCUCAGAAUGAACGUUGGCGGCGUGGAUUAGGCAUGCAAGUCGCGCGACAAGGUUCCUUCGGGGACUGGAGGAGCGGCAAACGGGGUAGUAAGGCAUCGGAACGUACCCUCUUGUCGGGGAUAGCGGCGGGAAACUGCCGGUAAUACCCGAUAAUCUCUUCGGAGCAAAGGUCCGCCGCAGGAGGAGCGGCCGAUGUGAUAUCAGGUAGUUGGCGGGGUAAUGGCCCACCAAGCCAUAGACGUCUAGGGGGUGUGAGAGCACGACCCCCACCACUGGGACUGAGAUACUGCCCAGACACCUACGGGUGGCUGCAGUCGAGAAUCUUCCGCAAUGGACGAAAGUCUGACGGAGCGACGCCGCGUGGUGGAUGAAGUCCUUAGGGUUGUAAACCGCUGUCAGUUGGGAGGAAGUGCUAUGGGGUUCUCUCCAUAG
rnacentral:rRNA from 1 species